AGUGGACUUAGUUAAAUUCAUAACACCAGCCCGUCAAGCUGAAAUCAGCCAGCACCAGUUAGUUCACUGCC
rnacentral:tRNA from 1 species